rnacentral:rRNA from 1 species
UUCGCAAUGCCCGAAAGGGUGACGAAGCGACGCCGCGUGUGGGAAGAAGGCCUUCGGGUUGUAAACCACUGUCGGGAGUUAAGAAAUGCAAGGAUAUUAAUAGUGUCUUUGUUUGACUAAGGCUCCGGAGGAAGCCACGGCUAACUCUGUGCCAGCAGCCGCGGUAAUACAGAGGCGGCAAGCGUUGUUCGGAAUUAUUGGGCGUAAAGAGCACGUAGGCGGCUAUGUAAGUCGGUUGUGAAAGCCUUCCGCUCAACGGAAGAACAGCAUCCGAUACUACAUGGCUUGAGUGCGGGAGGGGAGAGUGGAACUUCUGGUGGAGCGGUGAAAUGCGUAGAUAUCAGAAGGAACGCCGGCGGCGAAAGCGGCUCUCUGGCCCAUAACUGACGCUGAGUGUGCAAAAGCUAGGGGAGCAAACGGGAUUAGAUACCCCGGUAGUCCUAGCCGUAAAC